ensembl:lncRNA
CGAGGAGGGAGGGGAAGGGACCAGACGGGAGGGAGGGGAGGGGAGGGGAGGGGAGGGGCGCGGCCGGCCCACAACACACUGCACACGCGGAGACCUGGCGCGGGGUGCUGGGCGGCCUCCCUCCUCCGCCGCCCAGCAAGCCUGGGCGCCGCAGCCCCCGGCCCCCGCCUCCCGCACCCCCUUCCUUUGUCGCUGUGAAUCCCCCUCCUGGCGCUGGAGGGGCCCAAGAGGAAUCGCGGCUGACUCCACACUGCCCCAAAGGUCCGGGGGAGGGGGCGGCUCCCGCCCGAUCCCCCCAACUCCCAACCCCGCCCAACCUCGUCCCCAGAAUGAGGGGCUGCUCUGCGGGGAGGCCUUUCUCCCCAGGCCACCACUUACCUUGAAGUUCCUGUGACCCCAUGGCGACCCACCCGCUUUGUCGUAUGCAACUCCGACAUCAGCAAUUGGCAUCGUUUUAUUUCUUAGAAUUCUGCAACCCAAGCAAUCUGAACGCAAAGUUAGGAACAAUGCACUAGGAAGGCCACCGCAGCCCUGGGGAAGAAAGCAGCGCCGCAUGGAGUCACCUGCGUGGGGACCCGCGACAGUUAAUAGAGGAACCGACACCACGUCAAAAAAGUAACUGAGGCUCCUCUGUAAUGGCAGGAAUCUGAGUGUUCCUGGCAACUGUGUGUCUCUCUGUUCAAAGAAUGCAAGUGUCAACAAAGAGUCAUCGCUGGCCCAGGUCUGUCCCAAACGAUAGUGGAUUCAUUUUUGCCAGCGUCUCGAGGGCUUGUGAAAGUGAUCAACAGCUCUAUCGGCUCGAGGAGAACUUCAGCAGGUACAGUUGGUGACCGUCCACCUCCCUUUUUAAACUAAGGAAACAAGACAGGUUAAUCUGCUUUUUGGAUCCCUGCACUUUCCACUGCCCCAGACAAUUAAACAUGUAAAUAUUGCUGAAUACUGAAGUUAAAGCUCCAGUAUUUUGGUCAUCUGAUGCAAACAGACGACUCAUUGGAAAAGACCCUGAUGCUGGGAAAAAUUGAGGGCAGAAGAAGAGGAUAUCAGAGGAUGAGAUGGCUGGAUGGCAUCACUGGUGCAAUGAACAUGAACUUGGGCAAACUCCAGAGAUGGUGAGGGACAGGGAGGCCUGGUGUGCUGCAGCCCAUGGAGUCCCAGAGUCGGACACAACUGGGUGACUGAACAACAGCAACGAUAAAUGUAUAAAUACAGCCUUUAAUAAGACAUGGAUCGACGAAUUUGAAAACAGGGAGCAUUCUUUUUUUUUUGUCUAGAAAGUUCCCCAGGAUCAUAGUAACUAAAGCGCCAUGAAGACAGAGCAAAUCCAAACUAAAUAUUGCCACCUACAAGGAUUUGAUCCAAUUUCUAACUUGCUGAAAACACUUGACAAUGUACUAUUUAUCUCCAUGUUUGUUUAUUCCACAGGCUGUUAAAUUAGAUUUGCAAUGCGAUCAUGAUAGCAGAAAGGCAUGUUCAUUUGGUGUUUGCUGAAAAGAAAAAAUUCAACAGUAAUUAGCAUGCGGUAAUUACCAAGUAAUACUGGAAAUUCUAUAGGUUUGUAUUGAAAACCGAAACUGAAUCCCAGAGGCUGGAACACAGGAAGGAGGACCAUUUGGAAGCAGGCCUCAAAACGAGAACACAUCUCACUGGCAAUGCGUCCAUGGACUUACGAAGGCGAGCCAAUGGGAUGCAUGGAGGACAGAAUGACUUGGUUGAAAUAUGGGGGUGGAAUUUGGGAUGAAGCAUCAGAGGAAAGGAUCUACGCCAGCUUCCUGGGUCCUCCUUCUCAUAAAAGGAAUUGUUUAAACUACCAAUGUCGUAUGACACUUCCCGUGUAGAUCACUGACAAUUUUUUAACAUUGGCAAAGGGCUAUGCUUCACUUGUUUCCAGAAUUUGACCCUUUCUCACCUCCUCUGCUGUCCCCUCCCAGGUCCAAGCCACCUGGUCUUCUCACCUGAAUGGUCAUCAUAGCCCCCUGCCAGGUUACCUUGCAUGCAUGCUUGCCUCCGUCACACUAAGGCGUUAUGAAAAUACCCAAGAACACAAGCUAGGCCCCAGUGCCUCCUGGCUGAAGAACAGCUGUGCUUCAGACAGCUGCCAACAGAGCAGCUGGGGUAACCCUGUUAUAGCAGACGUCUGGCUGGGCCGUUCCUCUCACCAGAAGCCUCCAUGUCUGCCAGUGAGUCUUGACAAUGGCCCUGAGGCCCUGCACUGACUGUGGCCCCACGUCUUAUUGCUUAUUCUCCUUCAUCCUGCUCCCCAGUUCAUUCUCUACCCCAGGGCCUUUGCACCUACCACCCCUGCUUCCUGGACUGGGGCUCUGCACGAUACUAGACCAAUCCCCUGGAUCCUUCAAAUCUAUGCAGAAUGUCACCUCCUCAGGAAUCCUAGCCCAGCCACCCCAGUGCUAAAUUGAAACCCUAGACAGUUCAAUCCUCUAUCCUCCUCCCUGCUUUAGUUUCUUCCACAGCUCACUAUUUUAAAUCUGUCUGUAUUACUGUGUUAUUCUUACCAUAGCGGACACUUUAUUUGUGGAAUAAAUAAAUGAUUGACUGAAUGAACAAAUAAUGGUGAGUAAGAGGAAAACAUCCCUAAGACUUAUACCAUGAUUAUGCUGCAGGGAUAGGGAGAGGAUUACAGGGGUAAAAAUGAGCCAAAGCAAUAUAUAUAUAUAUAAUCAGAGCAAACUGGACAAAGAAAUGACACCAAUAAAAAUGAGGAUAAUGAAAAACUAGGCAUUUUUUCAC